GGCUCAAGGUCAAACCGGGCUCGCCAGCCUCUCCCCGGCUUCCCAAGCCCGCUCAGGUUCCAUGCAGUCAAAUCCGAACUUCUGCACACAUCGGGGCGCCCGGCUGGGAAGGCCAGGAGGCGGGCCCGACUGCGGCAGGACCGGCCGCUCCGCCGCCACGCUCUCCUCCGCUCCUCGGAACCCGAGGGCGACGAGAUGCUGAGGAGGAAAGGCCUGCGGACUUGACUGCGGCCGGGGCGACACCUCAGGCUUAUACUAGAAAGAAAGAUAAUGUGCUUGAUCACCAGGUUGAUUCUACUUACCAGCUGUAAAAACAUCUGCAUACAGGUGACCUCAGGAAGGCUAUCCUUGACCUCAUCUGACCUCUGACAUUACCUUGCCAGAUUUCCUCCAUAGCACCUGUCGUCAACUGGACUUCUGCUGCCAUUAUUGGGAUUUUAUCUCUUUGCCUAUUACCUGUCUUCAUCACCGGGAUAUAAGCUUUGUGAGAGCAGAAACUUUGGCUCCUGAUAUUUCUAGCACCUAGAAUAGUCAUGGCACAUGGUAGUGUUCAAUAAAAUUUUUUUUUUUAAUAAGUGAGUGAAUGAAUAGAUAUCUGUGAGCAAAGACGGGGGAGAACAUGUUAUGAACAAUUACAGAUUAUUAAUGGGCAAAUCGAUCAUAGUCAUGGGACCCUGAGGAAAUUACUUCAUUCUUAUUUGUGAACUGUAGAUGAUACAAACUACCUUUCAGGGUUAUCAUUAGGAUUAUAGAGGAACUAUAUAUAUAGGAACUGUCACACAUAUACACAAAUAGACAAAAAGAUAGUUCAUUAACAAUACAUGGUAGUUGCUAUUAAUCUAAAUAUUGUGUCUUGAGAAGUCUAUUUUUUUCAACACUUCAUUACUCAGCACAGGUAACACUGUUUUGUUUUUAAAGAGUAUAUUUGCAAACUGUCAAAUAUUUGUGGCAUCUUGCACACAGUUUCAGGCAGUGUCCAUUGUGGGGACUGUACGUAUUUCACCCACAUAUUUCACCCAGUACAAUGUAAUAUUCUGCAGGGAAUAUUUGCUAUAGUUUUGCUGUUCCUUUUCUCCUUACCAUGAUAAAAGAAAAUCCUUUCCAGAGGGAAACCCAGCCAUGGGGACAUGGGGGUAUGGUGGUGGUUUGGCUGUGAACAGCUAUGGUCAUCGCAGGACCUUCACAGACGGUGCAUCUGUAACACGAAAUCAACAUUGUGCUGGCAUUGCCGCUUUCUGCAAUGUUUCAUUCCAUUACAAGCAAUGCAAUUCAUUUGGUUCCAUUGCCAAAUUAAGGGACUGGAUUUUUACCUGCUAAUAAAACUCUCCAGGGCUCUGCCAGUAAUUGGAGCCAUGUCCAUUGGCAUCAGAGCUGGUGUCGACAGCCAGUAUGAAUAAUCAUUCCGAGAUGCAAAAUUACAUAUUUCGUCGACAUUACAGAAUAAGAAUGGCAUGGUGGUAAAUCGCUGCAGGCAGCUCCCAAGAGUCCCUAAUACAAUAUGGAACUGAGUAUCAGUUAAGAUUAUUCUAUUAAAUUAAGAUUAUUCUAUUAAAACAGAGAGGCAGCCUGAUCAAAGACAACACAAGCUAGUUAUUUGUAAAAUGUCAUAUUGAUAAGUUUUAGUCAAGAUGGAAAUAAAAACCCAGCAGGCAAACAAAUCCUUCUAUUCCCAUCCUUAAUACUUCCUAUGGUCCCUUCUAAUCAGUCUAGAACUUGUGGGCUGGUGUAGUUUGGUUAAAGCAAUGUCUUUGCUUCAAAUUGUUUUAGUUACUCAGAACAACUAAUAGUCACAUAAAAUUUUCUUAGAAAAGAUCAUUUGGGGAUUAAAAAGAAGACAGAUAUAACCAAUUAGAACAAAUUAAAAAAUAAUAAGAAGAAGAAUAAGAAGAAGACAGGUGUUUUAAGUGAAAAUGAUUUUCAUUGAACCUGACAAGCUUGACUCCUUCUAGCAUUUUACAUACCAGAAUGCAACUUAGACUUCAGGCCAGUUGCUCUCUUUAAAAUGUACUGGAAGACACCUGAGGUUGUUUUUACUUAUCUUCAGAGGAAGCACCCCAAACUAAAAAGUUUGCAAUCUGCAUAUGGAGCAAAACAACUGGAAACUCUGACCAGAACAUUACCAAGGUCUUGUCCAUGGGCUUGCUCAUUUCCUUGUACAAAGAGAAGAGAAAACCCACUGUAGAGUGGCUCUGUCCCUUCUGGACAUGCAGGGAUCACUGUUGCUUGACUGUGACGGGUGAAGACAAAGCCCCUCUUUCUUGUCUCCAUUGCUGGCAAGCCAAUAUCUCCAGGUUUUCCCUUCAAACCUGGUAACCCAUCUGAUCCAGGCGGUCCUUUAAAAACCACAUUAUAAAUGUUGUAACACAAACAGAAUCUCAGACUUGUUUUCUGAAGUACUAAUUUAAAUGCUUUUGUGUCUCUGUUAAGCUUCAAAUAUAGAAAGGAAUCCUAGUUAUAAAAUGACCAAGCAAUAUCAUUAAAUGUUAACUAGUUAGUCACAAAGUCCUCUUAUUGAUAUUUGUGUGUGUUAUCAGGUCUUCUUUAUCUCUGAAUUCCCUUGUGAUGCCUAGCACACAAUGGCCUGUAUGUGAAAGGUAUAUGCACAUCUUUUAUGAACAAAUAUGUAUGGGUCCUCCUACAAUGUGAGGGAAAAGAAAGAAAAUAUCUACAAUUAGAAAAUGUGUUCAAGUAGAUACUAAGAAAUUGCUUAAUGCUGUGGAUAAAUUCAAUAAACAGUUAUAGAAAAUACUGAAAUUUAUUUUUAAAGGUGCAAACUUCAAUAAACUUUCUGAUCCAUUAGUAAGGCAAAAAAUUCUCACGUGUUACUAUAAAAAUCCACAAUUGCCACAGUUUGAAUACAGGAGAGGCACACAUUCUUUACUAUCCCUAACCCCUACUCUCAUUCACAAAGGGCUAUAAUUAGUCCCAAGCAAAAACACCUUCCAAUAUCUGCAUGGGAGCUGUAAUGUGAUUAGCUGAAGCAGGGCAGGAGAUUAGCUUCUCUGCCAGUGCAUGGUAUCUAAGGCUAUUCUGCACCUCCAAGUAAGGGGCCAAGUCUAUCAGUUUAUCAGUGUUAUGAGGCAUCCAUAGCAUUGGACUAUGUCUUCAUAUAAUAAUUCUCACCAUAAUUUGUAUUGUAGUACUGUUGUUCUUGCUGUUGCCCCAUUCAGAAACCCUGCCUUUAUCAUUAUAGUUUAUAAAUUAAUAGAAUUAUUAAUUAGGGCUUUGUUUUUUUACCUCUUUGAAAACACACUGUGAGGAAAAUGUAAAAAUUAACAAUACUGAGCACUUGUGAGAAUACUAAAUCAAAGUUAACUAUGUAGUUAAUAUUAAUAGCAUAAUAUUUGAAUUUUUAGGAUUUAAGUUUCUAGUCUUUAUUAUAUCUGGGCAUAUGUACAUAUAAACAAACUGGGAAAUCACAUGUAGAAGUUUUUCUUACUUUAACAAAGUUAGCAGUCCUAAAAAUAUAAGAUUGGGACAUGUUGGUAUUUUCCAAAGGGAUACUUUGAAACUUUUACAGAAGGUAGAUUUAGAUUCAGGUUAUCAACUGACAUAUAUAGCUUCUAUUCAGACAUAUAUAAGAGGCCCCUUUUCAUUACACACACAAGAAUUGUUGAGUGAUGAUAUGGUUUUUGUUAAUGAAGGGAUAUUCAAAGGUGACAUGAUUAGACUGUAAGCUCUAUAACCUAAGUAGUCCAUCCUAGCUUGAAUGGACUUGACUGGGCAAUAACUGUGGGCAGGUGGGGUAUGGAAGAAGGAGGUGGGUCACUGGAGAUUUGUCCUGGAAGAAUGCAUUUUCACUGUGGCUCUCUUCCUGAACUCUAACACUCUAUCUUCUUCCCAGCUGGCACGAGCUGAGCAGCUUCCUCUGUCACCACUCUUCCACCAUGAUGUUCUGCCUUAUCUUGGGCCCAAAGCAAUGGAGUUGACUGACUAUGGUCUGAAUCUCUGAAACUGCUGCCCUACCUCAACACCACCACCAGUCUAACAGCUGCGAGAACCGUGGCUCCAGGAAGAAUGGAGGCCAGAGGCAAAAGGAAGCAAUGAAGUCCCACAAAGAGGAUGAGAACUUCAGAUGUCAAAUGUGACUUUCAAUCUAUCUAGCUUAAAAGUAAACCCUCUACCUGGAUAUCCUCUUGAACCUGGUGGACCUCGAUUUCCUUUUUGGCCAGGGAUGAUGGUCCCAGGCUGACCUGGUGGCCCUGGGGGUCCUGCUAUGCCCAUGGGUCCUCGAGGCCCAACAUCUCCCAUUGUUCCCUUCCUGCCAGGGAGGCCCGGCCAACCAGGGGCUCCCCUGUCUCCUUUGGCACCUGCAAACAAGAAGACAUGGAUUUGAAGGAUCAACUAACUGAAUGGAUUCGUACCUUCCAAGUCUCAAUGAACUGUCCAUAUUCAGUUACCUGGAGGGACUGAGCUGGACCAGGAAUCCCAUCGUGUCCUUGGUUACCUCUUACACCCAUUGGUCCAGGAGGUCCUGGGAAUCCUGGAAGACCUGAAAAAAAAAAAAAGCAAAUUAAUAAACCAAAAUAAAAACCAUGGC